UGAGCAAUCUGCCCUUCUCAUCGGAAUAAGCGUUGGAAACGACGUCUAAUGCCGAAUACGACCUCCUUUCGCAUGAUCGGAGGUGGAAAGCUCCGGCGGAGAAGGAUGAGCUCGCGGCCUAUCAGC
rnacentral:rRNA from 1 species